GUCAGUUUGGCCGAGUGGUCUAAGGUGCCAGACUCAAGUUCUGGUAGAGAAAUCCGCGUGGGUUCGAACUCCACAGCUGACA
rnacentral:tRNA from 1 species